rnacentral:rRNA from 1 species
GCUUAAUGGGCGCAAGCCUGAAGCAGCAACGCCGCGUGUGCGAUGACGGCCUUCGGGUUGUAAAGCACUUUUAGGUGGGAAGAGGAAGGACGGUACCAUCUGAAUAAGCCUCGGCUAACUACGUGCCAGCAGCCGCGGUGAAACGUAGGAGGCGAGCGUUAUCCGGAUUUACUGGGUGUAAAGCGCGUGCAGGCGGUUCGUUAAGUUGGAUGUGAAAGCUCCCGGCUCAACUGGGAGAGGUCGUACAAGACUGGCGGACUGGAGUGUGGUAGGGGAAGGUGGAAUUCCGGGUGUAGUGGUGAAAUGCGUAGAUAUCCGGAGGAACACCAGUGGCGAAGGCGGCCUUCUAGACCACAACUGACGCUCAGACGCGAAAGCUAGGGUAGCAAACGGGAUUAGAGACCCCGGUAGUCCUAGCCGUAAACGAUGUGAACUUGGCGGCGGUUGGGUAAAACCGAUCGGUGCCGAAGCAAACGCGAUAAGUUCACCACCUGGGGACUACGGCCGCAAGGUUA